CUUCUGGCAGGCUACUGCCCCACAUACAUGCCUGAUCUUGUGCUUCAUGGGACCGGCAGUGAUGAGAAGCUGAAGCAGUGCCUGGUGGCCGACCUUGUCCACACAGUCCAUGACCAGACUCAUUGAUGGCAAGUCGUCAUCAUCUUGCUGUAAAUUUAUAACACACGAUGAACAAGACCUUGGAGGAACUUGUAAAGAGAAGUCACUGAAGCCUUGUAUCUUUAGUUGUCCGUUUUGGAGAGUGUAUAUAUGCAUGUGUAAGAAGCGUAGGGGUGAAAGGGUCAUGAAAACCUUUGGUUGAAAAUGGUGAUGGGGUCAUUAUGUGUGUAAGAAAAUCUUUGUACUUUUCAGUUAACAAUUCUACAAAAUGAGAACUGUCUUGGGAAACUGGGCUUUAUGAAUUCAAAAAUAUACUUUAUCAAAUUCUUUAUCUCUCAUGUUUAAAAUUAUUUGAACAGACAACUAAAUGUUGA
rnacentral:sRNA from 1 species